GAUGAACGCUGGCGGCGUGCUUAACACAUGCAAGUCGAACGGGAAACCUUUUAAUGAAGCUUCGGCAGAUUUAGCUGGUUUCUAGUGGCGGACGGGUGAGUAACGCGUGGGUAACCUGCCCUAUACAGGGGGAUAACAACCAGAAAUGGUUGCUAAUACCGCAUAAGCGCACAGGACCGCAUGGUCCGGUGUGAAAAACUCCGGUGGUAUAGGAUGGACCCGCGUUGGAUUAGCCAGUUGGCAGGGUAACGGCCUACCAAAGCGACGAUCCAUAGCCGGCCUGAGAGGGUGAACGGCCACAUUGGGACUGAGACACGGCCCAGACUCCUACGGGAGGCAGCAGUGGGGAAUAUUGCACAAUGGGGGAAACCCUGAUGCAGCGACGCCGCGUGAAGGAAGAAGUAUCUCGGUAUGUAAACUUCUAUCAGCAGGGAAGAUAGUGACGGUACCUGACUAAGAAGCCCCGGNUAACUACGUGCCAGCAGCCGCGGUUAAUGUAUCGUACG
rnacentral:rRNA from 1 species